GACGGAGGUCCCUAGCGUUGUUCGGAAUUACUGGGCUUAAAGCGCGUGUAGGCGGAACGGUGAGUACCUUGUGAAAUCCCCGGUCUCAAGCCGGGAACUGCUCGGUAUACUAUCGUUCUUGAGGCAGGUAGGGGUCACUGGAACCUUAGGUGGAGCGGUGAAAUGCGUAGAUAUCUAAGGGAACGCCUGUGGCGAAAGCGGGUGACUGGGCCUGUCCUGACGCUGAGACGCGAAAGCGUAGGGAGCAAACGGG
rnacentral:rRNA from 1 species